UAGAGAUUGUGGUCCUCUUGAGCUGUUCUUCAAAGGGGAAACAGUUUUUGUUCUUCCAGUGGUGGUGAAUGCUUUGCUUCUUUAGAGGAAUAUAAAUGGUGAAAUAAAUCACCAUUUUCUACCAAAGAGCAUGUACUUCUCCAGUCAUGGCAUUCAUGAGAGGAUGUGAACGUAUUUGGAAUGUGACUUGAUGAGUUCAAUUUCUAGAUGCUAAUCUGUAGCGAUGGAGGCUUUCACAUUAAAAUAAGGUCAGCUAAGCUCCACUACUUCACACCAUCUCUGAACAACAAUGUUUAAAUUAUUUUUGUUGGCUGUGAACCUGAUUCAAAGUUCAUUUUACCAACAGAAAUCUGUAUCUGUGCAGAGGAUCCACAAAUCAGCUAUAAAAAGAGUUUGUCAGCCGUGUCCCAAUGGGUUCCAACCCUUUUGCCUAGAAACUGACUUUCCUCCACUUUGCUCCUGAGGGAUGCUUUGACAUGGUCUGCCACAUUCUUCAGGUCUUAUUUGUCACUACUUCACAAGAGUGCUGAGUGGUGGUGGUGCUGAAUUCCCAGUGUUUAUUUGGGUACUGGAGAAGAAAAUUGCAAAUGGAGUCCAAAAGGACUUUAACUUCUCUUUAUGGGGCAAAAUACUGCAUUAAUAUCCCAUUUUGAUGAGCAAAUUUGACUUUCAAGUCUGGUAAACUCAGUUCCAGAAGUGUCAUACAGAAAUAUUUAUUAGCAGUAUCUUACAUUAUUUUAAUUUAUUACAAAAAAAAGAUGUCAAAAUAGAGCUGUUACAUCUGAAUAUCCUUGAUCCAGGUGCCUGAGACUUAAGAGCAAUGAGGAGGGAGAGACAGGGAAAGACAGACAUGGUUUCAAAGGAUUGUCUUUUUUUUUUACGAAACAGUUUGAGGUAAGAAGAUUUGCAGUACACAGAUGUACACUGCAGAUCCCAUAGUGCCAUAGCAUGGCAGCUCAGCUAUUAGCAUCAGUCUAGCUGUGGCACCAGAGAGCGCAGAAAAUAUUGUCCUGCCCAAGAUCUAUGGCAUACUGUACUGACUGGGGCCCUAUGAAGGGCAGUUAUAUUGAGUCUUUCUGUGCUCAUUCUAGAAAGGUACUGCACUGCAGGCAAUCUUUGUUAGGUAACCCCAUUUGGAGGAGGGCAGGGAGUCCUGACCUAAGAGACUCACUUUCCUGAAGGUAGCUUAGAUGAGCUGAGUGCAUACAGAUCUUUCUGGAGUUUAUCUUCAUCUGUUAAACAGUAGAGAUAAACUGCUCCCUCUAGCAUGCUUAUGUUACAUCUUUAUGUGUAAACGUAUGAUUCCACUGCAUGAAAUCAAAUGCAGUGCGUAUACUACAAAAUAUUUUUUGUUUCUAAUAAUUUGAUUUUUAAGUGAUGUAACUUGACUCCUUCAUAGUGCCUUUCUUAGCUAUUUUCAUCAGCAUUCAGACUAAUAAGGAAUGUUCCCUAACACUCUCCAGCCCCACAAAAGUCUAGAAAAUCUUUUGUACCCUUUUUUUUUUUUUUUUUUGCUGAGAAUAUGCUUUCCCUCUAUUAAGCUAAGAUUAAUCACAAGUUUUCACAAUUUAAUCUCAGGUAAUAGGCAAUAGGAUGACACUUUUUUUAAAAAAUAUAUUUCACAAGAUUGAGUGGUAAUUAUAGAAAUUCUGCAGGUAAGCCUUUGAGAUGUUAUGUGUUUGUUCAAAUGCAACUCCAAAGUAGAGGAGGUGCAAUUCAGGUUAACAAAUUCUGCGGUACAUAUUUUGUUACGCUAACUGUGGCUGUGCUCAGCUGACAAACUGAGGCUCUUAGUAGUGAAAAACGAAUCUUUUUUUAUAUACAAGUUCUAUUGGAUUAGCUAGCACUAAAGUCUGUCUGUCCCAGCACCAACAAUAUAUGUAAGAUUUUAUUCAUUUGCUUCAUGGAUCAUAAAAUUGAGGCAUUAAAAAUGGCACUGCAACAACAGUUAUCAUGAAUAGCUGCAGUUCAGAUUGUCUUUGGAAGAAAAAUCUGAGAUAACCAGUGGAUUUACCAGUGGAAAUACUGCAAAAUCAUAGAAUGAUUGGGGUUGGAAGGGACCCUUAAGAUCAUAUUGUUCCACUCCCCCCCCUCCCACUAUGGGCAGGGACACUUCCUUCUAGACCAGGUUGCCCAAAGCCAUGACUUGAGUGCUUCCAGGGAAGGGACAUUAUCAACCUCACUCAGCAACCUGUUCCAGUGUCUCACCAUCAUGUGAAAUUGUGGGAAAAUUUAUUUUAAACCGUGUAAAAAUUGUUUGGAAGUUAAACUUUUGCUGUAACAUUGAACUUAACAUCUUAAGAAUUUAGAAGAAUAGCAGUGAGUUAUUGAAGAAAUCUUUUUUUUUUCAUCCCCACACUUUGCUUUCUUCUUUAAAAGAUAUUCUUUAAUGACAAAAUGCUGAUGUCUAGUUCUAGCUACUGGGAAAAACUGCCCAGUGCAUGAACUGUGGUGAUAUUUUGCUGUACCUUCUUCCCCAGCCAAUAUUUCAGAAGGAAAUAUGGACUUUCUGGCUUAAAGGCUUACUUAACAGUCCUGUAUUUCCUGCUUAUGUAAGUACUAGUUAAGAUGCUUGCUGUGAUAAACCGCUGUGCUUCCGAAGGCAUUAGAUGUUCUUCUGAAAUGAUACUGUGUGACACUGUUUCAUGGAAUAUUUCUAAACAAUAAAAGCAAUAUAAUUUUGAUGGUCUCUUCUUGGAUAUCAGACUACU
ensembl:lncRNA